AGAGCAGGGAUUGUGUGUAUCGGAGUUGUGCUCAGUGCACUUUGUUUCCGAAAGAGUUCCCUGCAAAAUCAAUCUGGGGGAGGUGGGCAGUUGUGUUUCAUCUUAACCAUUGAUAUCAUCAACAAUCAUCUUCCCCACAUCA